rnacentral:rRNA from 1 species
UAAGUGUGCAAAGGUAGCAUAAUCAGUAGUUUUUUAAUUGAAGGCUUGUAUGAAGGGUUGGACAAAGAAUAAUCUGUUUCUGUUUUUAUUUUUGAAUUUUACUUUUAAGUGAAAAGGCUUAAAUGUAUUUAAGGGACGAUAAGACCCUAUAAAUCUUUAUAUUAAGUUAUUUUUUAACAAUUAAUAUAGUAAAUAAAAUAAUAAAAUAAAAAAUAUUUUGUUGGGGUGAUGAAAAUAUAAAAUUAACUGUUUUAAAAUAAAAACAAAGUUGUUUGAAAAAAAAUAAAUGAUCCUUUGUUAAGAUUAAAAUUUUAAGUUACUUUAGGGAUAACAGCGUUAUUUUUUUUGAGAGUUCUUAUCGAAAAAAAAGUUUGCGACCUCGAUGUUGAAUUAAAAUUUCUUUAUGGUGCAGAAGUUAUAAAAGAAAGUCUGUUCGACUUUUAAAAUUUUACG